AUGCAGGUCAAACGGUUUCCGCUGGAGCUCUCCAGCACCGGCCUCGGCUUCGACCCGGCCACCGGCGAGCACAAAGUGGUGAGGCUCUUAAGGAACAUGUUCGCGCAGCAGAAGUGUGAGGUGUGCCCCCUGACGCCAUUAGGCGUGGGGCGGUGGAGGCCCUGCGCCGGUGGCAACGCGCCGCCAAAAUUCGCGUGCCACGUCGACGGCAGGCCUCCCGUGGCCCUCGACGGGUCCCUCUACUGGCUGCUGCACCGCCGGAGCCUCGCCGACGACGGCAGCGCCAGGGACCCGCAGCACGACGCGCCCAUCCUGUCGCUCUCCGUCGGCGCCGAGCGGUUCGGGUGGGUGCGCACGCCGCCGCGGCUGGCGUCACGCAUUCGGCACCUCACCGACCUCGACGGCUCGCUCUGCGCCGUAGUCCACGACAAGCUCAUCGACGACGUGCUCCUGCUCGUCACGUGGAGUCCGUCGUCCCCAUCGUGGACGGCGGGCUGCCGCGUCGACGUGGGCAGCCUGCCCCGGCCGAUCCGCGACGAGCUCAGCGGGGAGCGGGAGAUCAUCCCGCUCUGCGGCGUGAAGAAGAAGAUCCUGCUGGCGACGAGCCGGCACAAGGUGUACGCCUACGACACGGAGCAAGGCGCCGCCGAGGAGGUGUUCGACAUGAACUGCUUUGUCGACGUGCCGCUACACAACAGCGAGUCUCGGCUGUUCUUCAACAUUGGCCUCCACGAGGAACGCAUCACCGGCGUGGGCCCGAAGGUGGCGGGUGACAACUGGCUACAGGUGAAGCGGGGACGAGGCGUGGUGCUCGGCAAGCGGGAGGCGUCGUCGGUGUGCCCGGAACAUCGCGAGCAGGACCAGGAUUUUCACAGGACGAAGGAGGCGAUCAUGCAGCUUGCAUUCCCAGCGUAG
rnacentral:rRNA from 1 species